rnacentral:misc_RNA from 1 species
GAUGAAGAACGUAGCGAAAUGCGAUAAGUAAUGUGAAUUGCAGAAUUCAGUGAAUCAACGAAUCUUUGAACGCACAUUGCGCCCGUCAGUAUUCUGGCGGGCAUGCCUGUUCGAGCGUCAUUACGCCCCUCAAGUCCCCUGUGGACUUGGUGUUGGGGAUCGGCGAGGCUGGUUUUCCAGCACAGCCGUCCCUUAAAUUAAUUGGCGGUCUCGCCGUGGCCCUCCUCUGCGCAGUAGUAAAACACUCGCAACAGGAGCCCGGCGCGGUCCACUGCCGUAAAACCCCCCAACUUUUUAUAGUUGACCUCGAAUCAGGUAGGACUACCCGCUGAACUUAAGCAUAUCAAUAAGCGGAGGA